CAGGAAGGGAACACUCAGGACAUAUGUAUGCAACUAUCUUACUUCAAAAAAAAUCUGAGAGGUCAGCAUGCAAGGAAAUAUUUGCUCAAACACUUGACUAUGGGAUACAUUGGGUUGCUGGAGAAGUCCUGAGGUUUUGUCAAGUCACCGUAAGCCUGUCAAAAUCAGACAUAAAAAGAGGAGCCUGAGCCCAGCUCAUCAGCUCUGUCGACAGCUUGAGACAGAUCCCAUCUCAUUGCAUCUGAGACCUCACUUGCUGCUGCAGGCUCUGCCAGUUUGCACAACGACUCCUGCUCUCCCAGACGGCCUUCCACUCUGCUGUCUUUGAUGCUCCCCUGUCGGCCACCAGUCCCAACCUCCAUACUUUAGGAUCACCGGGUGGACUUUUCCUCUUCGUUCGCCCCCAGUCAUCUCACAGCAGCUGCCACCAUUGUUCUCUAAGAUCUCUGUGGAGCUCCUCUCUGGCUCGCCUAUUGUGCCCUGUAGAUGCCUAGCGUGCUCGGAACUCGGCCUCUCCCGCACCCUUGCAGACUGCAUUCCCGUCACCAUGCCAGCAUAAGAUGCUCCAGGCCACAUGACUCAUGGAGACUUCUAAGCCCCCUUUUACCCUGUGUGAUUAAAGCAACCUG